rnacentral:rRNA from 1 species
UACGUAGGGUGCAAGCGUUGUCCGGAAUUAUUGGGCGUAAAGAGCUCGUAGGCGGUCUGUCGCGUCUGCUGCGAAAACUCGGGGCUUAACCCCGGGCCUGCAGUGGGUACGGGCAGACUAGAGUGCGGUAGGGGAGACUGGAAUUCCUGGUGUAGCGGUGAAAUGCGCAGAUAUCAGGAGGAACACCGGUGGCGAAGGCGGGUCUCUGGGCAGUAACUGACGCUGAGGAGCGAAAGCGUGGGGAGCGAACAGG